rnacentral:rRNA from 1 species
AGCAGCCGCGGUAAUUCCAGCUCCAAUAGCGUAUAUUAAAGUUGUUGCAGUUAAAAAGCUCGUAGUUGAAUUUCGGGAUCAGAGUGUCGGUCGUGCCUCGGUACGCACUGGUAUUAUUGGUUCCUACCUUCUGAAGAACCGCGAUGUCAUUAAUUUGGUGUCGUGGGGAAUCAGGACUGUUACUUUGAAAAAAUUAGAGUGUUUAAAGCAGGCUUACGCUUGAAUACAUUAGCAUGGAAUAAUGAAAUAGGACGUUUGAUUCUAUUUUGUUGGUUUCUAGGAUUGACGUAAUGAUUAAUAGGGAUAGUUGGGGGCAUUAGUAUUCAAUUGUCAGAGGUGAAAUUCUUGGAUUUAUUGAAGACUAACUACUGCGAAAGCAUUUGCCAAGGAUGUUUUCAUUAAUCAAGAACGAAAGUUAGGGGAUCGAAGACGAUCAGAUACCGUCGUAGU